rnacentral:rRNA from 1 species
CAGCCGUAAACUAAUGCGCGUUAGGUGUACUGGUGACCACGAGUCACCGGGUGCCGAAGGGAAACCGUGAAACGUGCCGCCUGGGAAGUACGGUCGCAAGGCUGAAACUUAAAGGAAUUGGCGGGGGAGCACCACAACAGGUGGAGCCUGCGGUUUAAUUGGAUUCAACGCCGGACAUCUCACCGGAUAAGACAGCUGAAUGAUUGUCAAUCUGAAGGUUUUACAUGACUAGCUGAGAGGAGGUGCAUGGCGUCAGUGACU